GAUUCUACUGAUGAAGAAGAUGAUCCUAUUAUUGAUUAUCGUGACGAUGAUACUGAUGACAAUGAAGAAAAUGAUGACAACAAUGAAGAAAAUUAUGAUGAGGAGGAGGAGGAUUUUUAAUUUUUGUGAGUACACAUAUAAAUUUUUUGCAUUUCUUUAUAUCAUUGGAAGACACUUAUAUUGGCAUGGAUUACCUUUUAUUCUAUCAUAU
rnacentral:misc_RNA from 1 species